CCUACGGGUGGCUGCAGUGAGGAAUAUUGGUCAAUGGACGAGAGUCUGAACCAGCCAAGUAGCGUGAAGGAUGACUGCCCUAUGGGUUGUAAACUUCUUUUAUAUGGGAAUAAAAUGUUCCACGUGUGGGAUUUUGUAUGUACCAUAUGAAUAAGGAUCGGCUAACUCCGUGCCAGCAGCCGCGGUAAUACGGGGGAUCCGAGCGUUAUCCGGAUUUAUUGGGUUUAAAGGGAGCGUAGGUGGAUUGUUAAGUCAGUUGUGAAAGUUUGCGGUUCAACCGUAAAAUUGCAGUUGAAACUGGCAGUCUUGAGUACAGUAGAGGUGGGCGGAAUUCGUGGUGUAGCGGUGAAAUGCUUAGAUAUCACGAAGAACUCCGAUUGCGAAGGCAGUUCACUGGACUGCAACUGACACUGAGGCUCGAAAGUGUGGGUAUCAAACAGGAUUAGAUACCCUUGUAGUC
rnacentral:rRNA from 1 species